UCUUGGUCAAUUAGAGGAAGUAAAAGUCGUAACAAGGUUUCCGUAGGUGAACCUGCGGAAGGAUCAUUAACGAGUUUGAACUGGGGUUGUAGCUGGCCUCUCGAGGCAUGUGCUCGCCCUGCUCAUCCAUAUACCACUGUGCACCUUCUGUGGCGUGGCGGCGCUUUACGGCGCUGCCUGCUGCACUUUUACACAUACACUACAAGUCUAGAAUGUUUACUUGCGAUAAUACGCAUCUAAUACAACUUUCAACAACGGAUCUCUUGGCUCUCGCAUCGAUGAAGAACGCAGCGAAAUGCGAUAAGUAAUGUGAAUUGCAGAAUUCAGUGAAUCAUCGAAUCUUUGAACGCACCUUGCGCUCCUUGGUAUUCCGAGGAGCAUGCCUGUUUGAGUGUCAUGAAUCUCUCAAUACAACAGCUUGUGAAAGCGGCUGUUGGAUUGGACUUGGAGGUUGCCGGCGCAAGUCGGCUCCUCUCUAAAUGUAUUAGCUGGAUCUGAAGGUCGGCGAUCAUCAGUGUGAUAAUUAUCUAUGCUGUUGUAUUCCACCUGCACAAGGUGCUACCAUCCUCAGGGAUGAGUGGCCCAUGGUGUUACCGUCCGUAAGGAUGUGUGGCCCAGUGGAGAUCACGCUUCUAACCGUCUGUAAGGACAAAUCUCUUGACAUCUGACCUCAAAUCAGGUAGGACUACCCGCUGAACUUAAGCAUAUCAAUAA
rnacentral:rRNA from 1 species